rnacentral:rRNA from 1 species
UACAGAGGGGGCAAGCGUUAUUCGGAAUUAUUGGGCGUAAAGGGCGCGUAGGCGGCCUGGCAAGUGGAAGGUGAAAUCCCUCGGCUUAACCGAGGAACUGCCUCCCAAACUGCUUGGCUCGAGACCGGGAGAGGUGAGUGGAAUUCCCAGUGUAGCGGUGAAAUGCGUAGAUAUUGGGAGGAACACCAGUGGCGAAGGCGGCUCACUGGACCGGUACUGACGCUGAUGCGCGAAAG